rnacentral:rRNA from 1 species
UACAGAGGUCUCAAGCGUUGUUCGGAUUCAUUGGGCGUAAAGGGUGCGUAGGUGGCGCUGUAAGUCGGGUGUGAAAUCUCGGAGCUUAACUCCGAAACUGCAUUCGAUACUGCCAUGCUUGAGGACUGGAGAGGAGACUGGAAUUUACGGUGUAGCGGUGAAAUGCGUAGAUAUCGUAAGGAAGACCAGUGGCGAAGGCGGGUCUCUGGACAGUUCCUGACGCUGAGGCACGAAGGUCAGGGGAGCAAACGGG